rnacentral:precursor_RNA from 1 species
CCAAAGUUAGAAAUCUUAGUUUCUUAAUUCUCAUCCAACAAGAUGUUGGAGCUCUUUAUGUCACGAUGUAUGACUCUUUGUUACUGGUUCCAAAGGAUUAUGAAGGUAGUCUAGCCCACAGACAACAUAAAUGCAUAUCUUGAGACAUCAGUUCACAUGAGACUCGUGCCUCCAACAAUGGAUUGUUCGAGUCUCACGUGAGAACCCGAUGUCUCAAGAUAGGUGUUGGUGUUGUGCGUGGGUUAGCUUAUCAUCAUAAUCCUUUGUCAUCGCAACAAGGAGUCAUGCAUGGUGAUAUAAAUAGCCCUAACAUUAUGUUGGAUGAGAAAUAUGAAUUUGUGAUUUCCUAUUUU